rnacentral:lncRNA from 1 species
ACCAGAUAUACCAUACAUAUACAUAUAUACAUACAUCCUUACAAUUAACAUGUACAACAGUUCGGCACUAAAAUAUAGCUGUAUUACAGCACUGAGCUUCAUUUCUAGAAGAAAGUGUUUUCAAGCAGAACAAUGAACAACUUCUGCUCCAGUGUUUGGAAACAUAACCCUUCCUUCUUCAAAUGAGAGGGGAAAAAAAGAAAGAAAGAAACAAACAUAUGAGGACAUUACUGGAUUUAUUGCCCAUUUAUUUUUCAGAUGCCUUGUCAAUAGGAAAUGAGCAACACUGGCUUUAAAUAUUUGAAGAAGUGGGGACAUGUAAAAGCCACACAGCAGUUGUGACUUCAAAGCAAACAAGAUGUGAUGUAUUGAGGAGUCAGCUGGGUCUUUUUUCACUAUUGUAUCUCAGCAAGAGAGCGAAGGGAUGCCUGCAAGACGUUACUACCUACCGCAUCGAUGGGAUGCUGACCAUGACCUGGCUAAGUAUCUACAACAUCAUUGAUUGGGAAAAGCAUUGCACUCAUCAGUACCCUUGUAAUCACCCUGUGGUUGGUAUGUUAACAAACUAACUCAUUAGUAAAUUCUUUGUCAUUUCAAUCGCUGCUCAAGUGUGUGUGUGUGUGAUAUUGUAUUUGACAUCCCCAAAUAGCUCGCUUGUUUUAUAUACAUAUAUAUUUACAUAGUCAGAUCCUUGCUGGGCUGAGCCAAUCAGCUUCAGCCCCUGGAAUCUAACUAGAACAUCCACUUAGAGAAAGUGCAUCUGAAGUAAUAUCUUGGAUAACUGAUCUCUUUAGGUCCUUUAAGUGGUCAUCAGACACCUUUAAUAUAUACCAAAGAAAAAGAAAACAAAAAAGGAAAGAAAAGGGAAAGAAAGGAAAAGAAAAGAAAAAAGAAAAAGAAAGGUUUUAUUUAAUUAAUUAAAAUAUCUGUCCAUCUUGCACCUUUUUGUGCUUGCAGUAUCAA